rnacentral:rRNA from 1 species
GUUAUAUGGUCAAGUGAAGAAGCGCAUACGGUGGAUGCCUUGGCAGUCAGAGGCGAUGAAAGACGUGGUAGCCUGCGAAAAGCUUCGGGGAGUCGGCAAACAGACUUUGAUCCGGAGAUCUCUGAAUGGGGGAACCCACCUAGGAUAACCUAGGUAUCUUGUACUGAAUCCAUAGGUGCAAGAGGCGAACCAGGGGAACUGAAACAUCUAAGUACCCUGAGGAAAAGAAAUCAACCGAGAUUCCCUUAGUAGUGGCGAGCGAACGGGGAUUAGCCCUUAAGCUUCAUUGAUUUUAGCGGAACGCUCUGGAAAGUGCGGCCAUAGUGGGUGAUAGCCCCGUACGCGAAAGGAUCUUUGAAGUGAAAUCGAGUAGGACGGAGCACGAGAAACUUUGUCUGAACAUGGGGGGACCAUCCUCCAAGGCUAAAUACUACUGACUGACCGAUAGUGAACCAGUACCGUGAGGGAAAGGCGAAAAGAACCCCGGAGAGGGGAGUGAAAUAGAACCUGAAACCGUAUGCGUACAAGCAGUGGGAGCCUACUUGUUAGGUGACUGCGUACCUUUUGUAUAAUGGGUCAGCGACUUAUAUUC